rnacentral:lncRNA from 1 species
CCCGCUGCGACUGGCGCGUGGCCGCCAGCCCCCGUCGCCUCGUUACUGCUGGAGCCGCGGGCGCGGAGCGGCCUGAGGGGCGCAAGGCAGAUCGCCCCGGGCCCCAGCCACAGCUCGCACAGCGCCCCCGGACACGGGCCACGCACCCCCGGACUGCCACCAGGACCUCACGCGCAGUGACGUGCCACACCAGGUUGCAUACACACACACAAGUGACCUGCAGCAAAAAAUAUGCAAAAGGCACCAUGCCAGAUUAACUGGAGGAUGUUCAAGAAGCACACUCUUUGAGAGAGAAAGUGGGCUGAGUUCCCCUGAGAUGGGUGUAGCCUCCUGGGACACUCCUCUACUAUUGUACUGUAUAAACAGCAUUUGAGCCAAAUCCUGAUCUCCUCACUUAAGGCAAAGCUGACCUCACUGUAGCACAUGAAUCUCAAAUUUCCAGAUAAAACAAACCACAUGGAGAAAUUCAGCCGAUUUGUGACACCCGCCAGGUCUCAGCCAACUUCAUUAAAAUUAAUACAGAUGUUUUGGUCAGCUUCACUGAGGCUGGAUACUAGGAAUAAGAGUCAAGACAAGAUGCUAAUCCUCCUGAUGUUAAUAGGAGCAGUGGGACUUCUUAGCAUAUCCAGACACAACCUAUAGUAGGAAUCACCACUAGCAAUCACCACCACCAUAGCCGAGGCUGAUGUCAACAAGAACAUGAAGUAAAGAUAAAACAGCAAUGAACGUAUAGCCAUUGAAAGUCAUGAGCAAUGUGUCUUUCUCUUGCAAUGUAACGAUGACAUGAAAUUACACUGGAGACUGAGGGUGAAAUCCACAGCCAUUAGCCCCAUGGUUUGAAACUUUGUUAUAGUUAGAAACUUUACAUGGGAAGGAGAUCCAUGUAUUAUGGCAAACUCUUUGGGAGACUAUCAAAGUGUUCUACAAUCAGUGACAGACAACACUUGAUGGAAAAAUAUGCUAAGCUCCAAAGCCAGUUCCUUUUUCAGAGGAAUUAGUUUUGGCAAUCCCAGCAGUUCAAAACAGACUAACAAAUUGUAUGUUUACCAUGUUAAAUGAUAUAGGAAUUUAAGUAGUUUUAAUGUUAGUAAUAUUAAUAGCUCUUAGCUCAAAUGUUAUUGGCUAUAACUGUGUUUGUUAUGUUAUGUUAUAUGUGUUGCUUGUAUAAUCAACUGAAAAUGUUAAUGGCCAGGAAAGUCCUCCUGUGUAAAGAAUAGUGGCUGGGUUGAGGUAACAAGACUGCCACAAAGAAGAUCAAUCUCUGCUAAUAGUUGCCACCCACGAGGCAUAUGGAGAGUGGAUUUUGUGCUCAACACUAGAUCCUUGCCAUAAGAUGAUAACAGUCUAACUAAAACCUCAAUCAAUCUCCGCGGACGUUUCCUGGAAGUUUUGCAGAGGUGGCACCCGGUGGCACCUCAAUCAAUACCAUAACAGAGGCUGGGGCAAUCCCAAGUCAAGUUUCAAUUAAUAUCAUCUUUCAUGCCCCUCUAAUUUCAAGACAACAUUUAUGAUACUCAGCAGUAAAAAAAAGUUGCAGUUGAAUAUGAUAAGUUGGAUUCAUCUCACAAAACCUAAGUGGCAGUAGAGCAUUUCCUUUGCUAAUUUCAUUAGGAAGUCUCAGGAUGUUUGUCUGUAAUGAUAA